CUUAUCAUCUUGGAUUUCAACAUGGGAUGACUCAACAAUUUAACUUUUGAAUUCUUCGAGCUCGAAUUUUUCAAGCUCAGGAUUUUCAACUUCAUCUGAAAAUUGCCCUUCUUCAUAUUCAAGUUGUUGCCUUGCUUUUAUAUUGUCAAGAGCUCUUGAUAUUGCGUCCAACUUUGCUUUUAGUUGAAACAUAUAAAUGUCUUCCAUGCUUCAAGUUUUGUCUUCUUAAUUUAUUGUUGAGUCUAAUAUUCCUUCUUCCAUUCUUCAAGUUCUCUCUCCCGAACUGGUAAAAGUUAUUUGAUGGUUAGAUAUUCAUAAAAUAAGUUAGGAGGAAAAUGUUCAACACCACCAUAUGAAUCCCUCAA
rnacentral:misc_RNA from 1 species